rnacentral:rRNA from 1 species
CCUACGGGGUGCAGCAGUGGGGAAUAUUGGACAAUGGGCGAAAGCCUGAUCCAGCCAUGCCGCGUGUGUGAAGAAGGCCUUCGGGUUGUAAAGCACUUUCAGUGGGGAAGAAAGCCUUGGGGCUAAUACCCUCGAGGAAGGACAUCACCCACAGAAGAAGCACCGGCUAACUCCGUGCCAGCAGCCGCGGUAAUACGGAGGGUGCGAGCGUUAAUCGGAAUUACUGGGCGUAAAGCGCGCGUAGGCGGUCUGAUAAGCCGGUUGUGAAAGCCCCGGGCUCAACCUGGGAACGGCAUCCGGAACUGUCAGGCUAGAGUGCAGGAGAGGAAGGUAGAAUUCCAGGUGUAGCGGUGAAAUGCGUAGAGAUCGGGAGGAAUACCAGUGGCGAAGGCGGCCUUCUGGACUGACACUGACGCUGAGGUGCGAAAGCGUGGGUAGCAAACAGGAUUAGAUACCCGUGUAGUC